AUGCACAAAUACUGUAACGUGGAAAUUGGUACUACCUGUACAAAUGCCCGCGAAGUAGCAUGGUUGGAGAUCGGAGAAGUGUGGUUGAUGUCGGCGUGGCUGAUGCGCAGCCGAGCUUGCAAGGGAGUGCCGAUCGUCGCGGUUCACGGUGGCCUGAGGGAGUUUGAAUGGAAAAAUGUGCGGCAUCCGAUGGUUCCGAUCGGAAGCAAGUGGGAGAAGUGUGGUGGGUCGAUUGUGGCGUGA